rnacentral:rRNA from 1 species
UACGGAGGGUGCGAGCGUUGUCCGGAAUCACUGGGCGUAAAGGGCGCGUAGGCGGCCUGAUAAGUAGGGGGUGAAAUCCUGCGGCUUAACCGCAGGGCUGCCUUCUAAACUGUCAGGCUAGAGCACAGUAGAGGCAGCUGGAAUUCCCGGUGUAGCGGUGGAAUGCGUAGAGAUCGGGAAGAACAUCAGUGGCGAAGGCAGCCUGCUGGGCUGUUGCUGACGCUGAGGCGCGACAGCGUGGGGAGCAAACAGG